rnacentral:rRNA from 1 species
CCUACGGGUGGCAGCAGUGUGGGAUCUUCCACAAUGGGGGGAACCCUGAUGCAGCGACGCCGCGUGGGUGAAGGAGUGCUUCGGCAUGUAAAGCCCUAUCGGCAGGGAAGAAGCAAGACGGUACCUGCCUAAGACGCCCCGGCUAACUCCGUGCCAGCAGCCGCGGUAAGACAUAGGGGGCGAGCUUUAUCCGGAUUCACUGGGUGUGAAGGGAGCGUAGACGGCCAUUCAAGCCAGGGGUGAAAGCCCGGGGCCCAACCCCGGUACUGCCGUGGAAACUGUGCGGCUAGAGUGCGGGAGGGGCAGGCGGAAGUCCUGGUGUAGCGGUGAAAUGCGGAGAGAUCAGGAGGAACACCGGCGGCGAAGGCGGCCUGCUGGACUGCGACUGACGUUGAGGCUCGAAAGCGUGGGGAGCGAACAGGAUUAGAUACCCCUGUAGUC